rnacentral:sRNA from 1 species
UUGUUCACUAUGCGCGGCGGCCGGACA